rnacentral:rRNA from 1 species
CAGCAGCCACGGGAAUACGUAGGGUGCAAGCGUUAAUCGGAAUUACUGGGCGUAAAGGGAGCGCAGGCGGACAUAUAAGUCCAUCUUAAAAGUGCGGGGCUCAACCCCGUGAGGGGAUGGAAACUGUAUGCCUUGAGUGCAGGAGAGGAAAGCGGAAUUCCCAGUGUAGCGGUGAAAUGCGUAGAUAUUGGGAGGAACACCAGUGGCGAAGGCGGCUUUCUGGACUGCAACUGACGCUGAGGCUCGAAAGCCAGGGGAGCGAACGGGAUUAGAUACCCCCGUAGUCCCUGUCUCUUAUACA